rnacentral:rRNA from 1 species
GAAUCUGCCUAUUAGUGGGGGACAACAUUCCGAAAGGAAUGCUAAUACCGCAUACGCCCUACGGGGGAAAGCAGGGGAUCUUCGGACCUUGCGCUAAUAGAUGAGCCUAAGUCAGAUUAGCUAGUUGGUGGGGUAAAGGCCUACCAAGGCGACGAUCUGUAGCGGGUCUGAGAGGAUGAUCCGCCACACUGGGACUGAGACACGGCCCAGACUCCUACGGGAGGCAGCAGUGGGGAAUAUUGGACAAUGGGCGAAAGCCUGAUCCAGCCAUGCCGCGCGUGUGAAGAAGGCCUUUUGGUUGUAAAGCACUUUUAUCGAGGAGGAGGCUACCGAGCCUAAUACUCUUGGAUAGUGGACGUUACUCGCAGAAUAAGCACCGGCUAACUCUGUGCCAGCAGCCGCGGUAAUACAGAGGGUGCGAGCGUUAAUCGGAUUUACUGGGCGUAAAGCGUGCGUAGGCGGCUUUUUAAGUCGGAUGUGAAAUCCCUGAGCUUAACUUAGGAAUUGCAUUCGAUACUGGGAAGCUAGAGUAUGGGAGAG